UGUUCAGUAGCACCUUAGAGACCAACUAAGUUUGUUCUUGGUAUAGGCUUUCUUGUGCAUGCAUACUUCUUCAGCUACCCAGAACAAACUUAGUUGGUCUCUAAGGUGCUACUGGACA